ACUACACAUAAUGACAUUCUGGGUUUGCCUUCUCAUGGAACCUAGGACAAGUAAUUAAACUCUAAUAGUUCUUAAUUAUCUCAUCCCCUAGAUGGAGAUGUUUGUGUCGUCGCCCUCCGCUAGAGAUCCAUUAGCUAGCCAGUUGGAAAGAUGUCCUUAUACAUCUUUUACAGACAGGAAGCCAAUGGCCCACUUCUAAGGACUUUGCCUCUGAAUGGACCUAGCUUCUCGACACAAUCAGAAGUUGAAUUCGGUAUCAGUUGAAUACUACAGGUAAUACAAACUCUUCCCCAGCACAGCAGCACCUGUGAUCCAAGACCAGCCUCAGGCAGCUUAAGCCUCUCCCUCAGCUCUGAAGCGACUGUCAGCGGAAUCAUUGGGAGGUUCCAGGUAACUGAACGCUUGGUACCAGAGACAGGAGCAGCAGCUCAACACUGUGAAGCCGACCAUUUCAUUUCCUGUUCAUUCUGCCACGGACACUGCUGGCGAAAGAGGUGGAAGCUGUUUACAGGAGAGGACUGGCUCCUAGCCCUGCAAAUUGCUUUUAUGAAAAUCCGAAAGUGAAGAAGUAUAAACACGUUGCUCCAAUUAGCUUCAAACCCAACCGAGUCGGCUGUUGGUGGAAAGAGAACUGUCUGCAGGAAAAUAGCGACAGCUCCUAUCAUCUUAGAGCUGGGCUCUAAAAGGAACAAGAAUGGCUUGCCGUCCCCUCCCUGGCUGUGACUGGAGGAGGCCUGAACAUUCUUACUCAAGGUCAAUGCUUGUGUUGUCCUCUCGCGGUGAUUGUGAAACAGACCGGAGUAGGGGGAGAUGGUGAAAGACUGGAAGAACAGAAGCCCAUUGCUGUUAUGCAAUCGGCCCCUGUCCACCCACUGGAGGCUGGGAGGGGACAGGGAGGCAGCACUCACCUCCACCAGGGAGAGAGCUUCCUGUAAGAUAGGUGUGUAUAUAUUGGCGGGGGAACAUGCACUCUGAUGUGUGGCGGUGGUUGCUCAAUUUGUUUACAUGGUAACUCGCUUAUUUAUUCGUCUGCUCUUUGUUCUCCGGAGAAGAGAGAUGAUCCAGCAGAGCAAACUUUUUUUUUUUUCCUUAUGAGCUCACCCUCUCCCGCUGUCGGUGCCACACCUGUAAUUAUAAUUAUGGCCCAGUGCUCAGGGAUGCUGCAAUCCCUUCCUGCUGAAACCCAUCUCGAGUUCACAGACCGAGUUGUUAUGCAGAGAGAAAAUGCCUGAGUGGAUGGAAUCUGCUUCAUUAGUACCUGCGCUGGCUCUGCUGGCUGCAGCUAACCUUCUGCGAAGAUGCGUGUGGCCCACAUUUUUCAGAAGCAUGGACACAUCCUUAUAUUUUCAAAGGAACGAUGACGUUAGCAGCCCCAACUGGGACACUCUGGGCAAACAUAAUGAGGCUAGGCGUUGGAAAGGUGGUUGAUACUGAGAUGAAGGAACUGCUGAUGUUUUAUAGGCAUGCGGUAGAGGAGAGAGUCUGGGUAGUCACCAGAAGUAAAUUAGCACAAGAUGGUCACAAAAAAUCAUUACAGAUUGACUUUAUUUUGACAAAAUCUUUCUUACAUGUCUCAUAACUAACAGAUUCCCUGACACUAAAAUGAUUCAACAUUAAAAGUAGUCUACCAUUGAGAUAUAAACAGCCUGAUAGUUUUACAAAGUGAAAAAAAUUAACACAGAACAUUGUUGUUUCAAAUGUAAUGAGACAGAUCUGCAACUUUGUUCCCAAGUUAAUGGAGCUCCAGUAUUUCCUAAUGAGGCAUAGUUUCUCUUUGCUAGGCUGUUUUUUUGUUUGUUUGUUUUUGGGGGGCUUUUUUGUUUUGUUUUGAUACACGUGGUAAGAAAAGCAUUGUGAUCACUGGAUUUGUAGAUAGCUUAUCAUAUGACCUUUUUGUUAUUCUAGUCUCAAAAUAGGAGUGUUGGACUUUUAAUCUACAAAAACCAGAUGCAAUUUCCCUCCUAAAACAAGGUUUCAUUUCUAGAAUCUGAGUCCGAAUAUGACAGCCUUCAAUUGCUCUAUUGUGUUUUAGUUUAGACAAAGGCUUUAGUCAAGUGCGGUAGCGUAUCUGUGUUUUUAUCCCGUUGAAAAUUUUGAGAAUUUUCUCUGGUGUAUCAAAUA